GUGCUUGCUUUGGCAGCACAAAUACUAAAAUUGGAACAAUACGGAGAAAAUUAGCAUGG
ensembl:snRNA U6 U6 spliceosomal RNA